CAGUAGCCGCGGUAAUACGUAGGGUGCAAGCGUUAUCCGGAAUUAUUGGGCGUAAAGAGCUCGCAGGCGGUUUGUCGCGUCUGCUGUGAAAACUGGAGGCUCAACCUCCAGCCUGCAGUGGGUACGGGCAGACUAGAGUGCGGUAGGGGAGAUUGGAAUUCCUGGUGUAGCGGUGGAAUGCGCAGAUAUCAGGAGGAACACCGAUGGCGAAGGCAGAUCUCUGGGCCGUAACUGACGCUGAGGAGCGAAAGCAUGGGGAGCGAACAGGAUUAGAGACCCCGGUAGUCCCUGUCUCUUAUAA
rnacentral:rRNA from 1 species